CAAGAUUGAUUCAGCCUUCCCUCCUUCCAAGGUGGGUAAAAUGAGGACCCAGAUUGUGGGAGCAAUAGGCUGAUUCUGCAAUCCAUUUAGAAAGGACUGUAAAGCGGUAUAUAAGCCUAAGUGCUAUUGCUAUUAGGAAAUAUACCACAACAAUCACUACCUUAAAGCAUAUAGUAACAGAAUUUGAUAGCUUGACAAGAGUCUCUCUCUCUCUCUCUCCUUGGUGCUUAUACCCAAGAGAAUUAAGAUGGAGGAAUGUUCAGAUUCUUAACUUGUUCUGAUUUUCUGAUCUAAACUGGGGUUUCCUUGAUGGCUUACACAGACCUUCCUCCAGGCCGCCUAUAUAUAAUAUAUAGGUUGUUAACACUACCUAACAAAGCUAGUAAGUGCAAAAUUUGGACCUGG